UUACUGGACAUCUUGAAGGCUUUCUUGGUGGUGGUAUGUAAGUGCAAUGGGCAACAGUAAAUUAGAAAUAUCUUUUUACGUAAAUGAGUGACAAUAUAAAUAUUUUUGAAGGUGAGGACAAUAACAUUUAUUUUAAAAUCUUGUUAUAUAACUCAAGGGAUUGGUUUACUGAUCAGCAUUUUACUAAGAAUUUAGUACUAACUAAAAUAUGCUUUGUACUUUUAUUUACUUUGCUUUAAUUUAAAAUUCAAAUACCAUGCUUUUUCGUUCAGUUGGUUACUUCUUUUAAUGUAUUCAAAAAUGUUGAACACAUACAGAACUGAAUUAAGAAGCAACAACUGCCCUAUGGAAGAGCUGUAUUAGUACAGAAUGCUUUUAAGAACCAAGGACAAAUUUUCAGUAUUGAAGACAACAUACAUAAAAAGCACUCCAAAUUCAUUUCUAAUUCCUUCAAUACCAUGCUAAAGUUCUUUUUCAGAGGGUAUGUCUCUUAACAAUUUUACAUAAUUCACAAUGAGAAUGUGAAAACAUGUCAAUUUGGCAAUCAACACUUCUUCAUUGCACCUUACUUACUUUAUGCAUGCGGCCCACACAUUACUUCAGCUCAAGAGGCUGGGGUAAUUCUGUCCCUAAGGCAAUCAAGGAGCUCAGCACAAACCUUGAAAUCAUUUUUAAAAAGAUUUUCUUUUCCUCAUUUCUCCCAUCAAUUUACAAGUAAACAAAUUAUUACUUCUUGAGGAGGGUGGGGGUUGAAAAGCAGAAGUCUCUUCAUGAUUCCUGGCGUUGAAAAUUUCUUGAGGGGAGAAGUGGAGGCAGGUGUUGGAACAUUCACAGUUUAAUGCAAAAGCACAAAUGAAUGAAAUUCUGUAGUUGCUUUCAGGCAGUUUUGCGCAUAGAAAAAAAGAAAUGUUUAGAAAAUAAAAUGUUUAUUUUGUCUUUCAGGUUGUGGCCAAGCCAGUCCAUUUUCCACCUUAACAGGAGGUGGAAUUUAAUUCUCCUCCCCUUGAAUAUGGGCUGGACAAAGAGAAAAAUGGUAGCUCAACAGUGGAGACACCUGGACAGCACUUUAACCAAGUUAUCAAAGUUAACAUCGCCAAUUAUGUAUGUGCUCCCGGAUGUGAUGUUAUGAGAAAGGCACACUAUACCUCUGUGGAAUUCCUCCCCAAAACCUAUUAUCUCAAUCUAUCCAUAGAAAACACUGGACAAAUGCAAACUGAGGGAUAUUCUAAAAGAAAACAGAUCACUACUCUUCAAAAGUUACAAGGCCAUCAAAGACAAGGAAACAAACUUUCACAGACUGAAGGAGACUAUAAUUAAAUGCGAUAUGGUACCCAAACUGGAUUAUGUAAGUAAAAAAACUGGGGAAAUAAAAUGUAUAAUUCAGUUAAUGGUAUUAUACCAAUGUACUUUUAUUUUUGAUAAAUGUACCCUGGUUAUGUAAUAUACUAAGAUUAGAGAAAGCUGGAUGAAGGGUAUCCGGAACUCUGUAUUUUUACAACUCCU
rnacentral:lncRNA from 1 species